GUGAAUCAUCGAAUCUUUGAACGCACAUUGCGCCCGCUGGUACUCCGGCGGGCAUGCCUGUCCGAGCGUCAUUUCAACCCUCAGGUCCCCCUUCCGGGGGCGGACCUGGUGCUGGGGCUCGGCCGUCCUCGUGGCGGCCGUCCCUUAAAUCCAGUGGCGGUCACGCCGUGAUCCCUUGCGUAGUACUACACCUCGCACCGGAGAGCGACGCGGCCCGCCGUAAAACACCCAAUUUUUCAAUGGUUGACCUCGGAUCAGGUAGGAAUACCCGCUGAACUUAAGCAUAUCAAUAAGCGGAGG
rnacentral:misc_RNA from 1 species